rnacentral:tRNA from 1 species
GGUGAUAUGACUCAGUGGUAGAGAGCAUCUGCUUAGCAUGCAAGAAGUUCCAGGUUCAAUCCCAGGCAUCUCCA